rnacentral:rRNA from 1 species
GACAGAGGAUGCAAGCGUUAUCCGGAAUGAUUGGGCGUAAAGCGUCUGUAGGUGGCUUUUUAAGUCCGCCGUCAAAUCCCAGGGCUCAACCCUGGACAGGCGGUGGAAACUACCAAGCUGGAGUACGGUAGGGGCAGAGGGAAUUUCCGAUGGAGCGGUGAAAUGCGUAGAGAUGCGGAGGAACACCAGUGGCGAAAGCGACUUUCUGGUCCUUAACUGACGCUGAGGCGCGAAAGCAUGGGGAGCGAACGGG